GACGAACGCUGGCGGCGUGCCUAACACAUGCAAGUCGAACGAAGUUUUUAUGGAAUGCGACUUCGGUCAAAUGAAGUUUAAACUUAGUGGCGGACGGGUGAGUAACGCGUGAGCAACCUGCCUUUCAGAGGGGGAUAACGUUUGGAAACGACUGCUAAUACCGCAUAACAUACACGGACCGCAUGAUCUGUGUAUCAAAGCUUUAUGUGCUGAAAGAUGGCCUCGCGUCUGAUUAGCUAGUUGGUGGGGUAACGGGCCCACCAAGGCGACGAUCAGUAGCCGGUCUGAGAGGAUGAACGGCCACAUUGGGACUGAGAUACGGCCCAGACUCCUACGGGAGGCAGCAGUGGGGAAUAUUGGGCAAUGGGCGAAAGCCUGACCCAGCAAUGCCGCGUGAAGGAAGAAGGGCCUUCGGGUUGGUAAACGUUACUUUUACCGUAGGACGAAGAAAUGACGGUAACUCGGCCGAAUAAGACUCCGGCGUAACUACGUG
rnacentral:rRNA from 1 species